GGGCCGUUAGCUCAGUUGGUAGAGCAGUGGACUUUUAAUCCAUUGGUCGAAGGUUCGAAUCCUUCACGGCCCACCA
rnacentral:tRNA from 1 species